AGUUGAGUGCUAGGUGUUAGGGGGUCCAACCCUUAGUGCUGCAGUUAACGCAAUAAGCACUCCGCCUGGGGAGUACGGCCGCAAGGCUGAAACUCAAAGGAAUUGACGGGGGCCUGCACAAGCGGUGGAGCAUGUGGUUUAAUUCGACGCAACGCGAAGAACCUUACCAGGUCUUGACAUCUUCGGACAGCCCAAGAGAUUGGGUCUUCCCUUCGGGGACCGAAUGACAGGUGGUGCAUGGUUGUCGUCAGCUCGUGUCGUGAGAUGUUGGGUUAAGUCCCGUAACGAGCGCAACCCCUGAUCUUAGUUGCCAGCAUUCAGUUGGGCACUCUAGGAUGACUGCCGGUGACAAACCGGAGGAAGGCGGGGAUGACGUCAAAUCAUCAUGCCCCUUAUGACCUGGGCUACACACGUGCUACAAUGGAUGGUACAAAGGGAAGCCAAACCGCGAGGUCGAGCUAAUCCCAUAAAGCCAUUCUCAGUUCGGAUUGUAGGCUGCAACUCGCCUGCAUGAAGCCGGAAUCGCUAGUAAUCGCGGAUCAGAAUGCCGCGGUGAAUACGUUCCCAGGCCUUGUACACACCGCCCGUCACACCACGAGAGUUGGCAACACCCGAAGUCGGUGGGGUAACCUUCACGGAGCCAGCCGCCGAAGGUGGGGCCAAUGAUUGGGGUGAAGUCU
rnacentral:rRNA from 1 species